AUUGAACGCUGGCGGCAGGCCUAACACAUGCAAGUCGAGCGAGCGGCGGACGGGUGAGUAAUGUCUGGGAAACUGCCUGAUGGGGGGGGAUAACUACUGUAAACGGUAUCUAAUAUCGCAUAUCAUCAGAUGUGCCCCGAUGGGGUUAGCUAGUAGGUGGGGUAAUGGCUCACCUAGGCGACGAUCCCUAGCUGGUCUGUGAGGAUGACCAGCAACACUGGAACUGAGACACGGUCCAGACUCCUACGGGAGGCAGCAGUGGGGAAUAUUGCACAAUGGGCGCAAGCCUGAUGCAGCCAUGCCGCGUGUGUGAAGAAGGCCUUCGGGUUGUAAAGCACUUUCAGCGGGGAGGCGUUACCCGCAGAAGAAGCACCGGCUAACUCCGUGCCAGCAGCCGAGGUAAUAC
rnacentral:rRNA from 1 species